AUGAGGCCCUUCCUCCUAAAGAAGCUGCACCAAAUAUUCUUGUUCCCGGGCCAGAAUGAAAAGGAUUAUAAAGAUCCAGAUAAUGACCCGGCAAUGAAGAAGAUAAACAAACACGCCAUGACCAAGUUUAGCGACGCGUUGGCCGCCUGGAAAUCAAGGCUGAAAUAUCGGACCGUCAACAAAAAGGAACCCUACUCCGAGAUUGUAAAGGAUACCGACAAUCACGGAAGAGCACUUUCAAAUAUUCAAGGCGGCUUGCGAGGCCGAAGCUGCCAAAAAAAAGUCGAAGUACAUGAAGGGGCUUCAACAGAGGAACAUUGGGUGCCACUACCUCGGAAGUCGUGGUUACAGCGGGAAGAGGUCCAUAUGGGCCAAGGAGGACGCGGAAGCCGCGAGUCUGGGCAUCCCAGACCCCUUGGCGGAGUUCACCGUCCCGCAGGAGUAUGA
rnacentral:rRNA from 1 species